UGAGAUGGUUCAGUUGGUAGAGCAUAAGGAUCUUAAUCUCAGGUGCCUGGGUUCAAGACCCAAGGUGGGCAAAA